rnacentral:rRNA from 1 species
CAGCAGCCACGGUAAUACGGAGAGUGCAAGCGUUAAUCGGAAUUACUGGGCGUAAAGCGCACGCAGGCGGUCUGACAAGUCAGAUGUGAAAUCCCCGGGCUUAACCUGGGAACUGCAUUUGAAACUGUCAGGCUGGAGUCUUGUAGAGGGGGGUAGAAUUCCAGGUGUAGCGGUGAAAUGCGUAGAGAUCUGGAGGAAUACCGGUGGCGAAGGCGGCCCCCUGGACAAAGACUGACGCUCAGGUGCGAAAGCGUGGGGAGCAAACAGGAUUAGAUACCCCAGUAGUCCCUGUCUCUUAUGC